rnacentral:rRNA from 1 species
UCAUAAACGACUCUCGGCAACGGAUAUCUCGGCUCACGCAUCGAUGAAGAACGUAGCAAAAUGCGAUACUUGGUGUGAAUUGCAGAAUCCCGUGAACCAUCGAGUUUUUGAACGCAAGUUGCGCCCAAAGCCAUUUGGUCGAGGGCACGUCUGCCUGGGCGUCACGC